AUUCCUCCAUGGGUGGGGAUUUGUUGCAUUACUUGUAGCUAUGUUUAGAGUAUUGCACUUGUCCCGGCCUGUGGAGGGAAG
rfam:Ornithorhynchus anatinus chromosome 6, whole genome shotgun sequence.